rnacentral:rRNA from 1 species
UCCUUUGACGUUAGCGGCGGACGGGUGAGUAACACGUGGAUAACCUACCUAUAAGACUGGGAUAACUUCGGGAAACCGGAGCUAAUACCGGAUAACAUAUUGAACCGCAUGGUUCAAUAGUGAAAGGCGGCUUUGCUGUCACUUAUAGAUGGAUCCGCGCCGUAUUAGCUAGUUGGUAAGGUAACGGCUUACCAAGGCAACGAUACGUAGCCGACCUGAGAGGGUGAUCGGCCACACUGGAACUGAGACACGGUCCAGACUCCUACGGGAGGCAGCAGUAGGGAAUCUUCCGCAAUGGGCGAAAGCCUGACGGAGCAACGCCGCGUGAGUGAUGAAGGUCUUCGGAUCGUAAAACUCUGUUAUCAGGGAAGAACAAAUGUGUAAGUAACUGUGCACAUCUUGACGGUACCUGAUCAGAAAGCCACGGCUAACUACGUGCCAGCAGCCGCGGUAAUACGUAGGUGGCAAGCGUUAUCCGGAAUUAUUGGGCGUAAAGCGCGCGUAGGCGGUUUUUUAAGUCUGAUGUGAAAGCCCACGGCUCAACCGUGGAGGGUCAUUGGAAACUGGAAAACUUGAGUGCAGAAGAGGAAAGUGGAAUUCCAUGUGUAGCGGUGAAAUGCGCACAGAUAUGGAGGA